UACGAAGGGGACUAGCGUUGUUCGGAAUCACUGGGCGUAAAGCGCACGUAGGCGGAUGUGUCAGUCAGGGGUGAAAUCCCGGGGCUCAACCUCGGAACUGCCUUUGAUACAGCACGUCUCGAGUCCGGAAGAGGUGGGUGGAAUUCCUAGUGUAGAGGUGAAAUGCGCAGAUAUCAGGAGGAACACCGAUUGCGAAGGCAGCUCGCUGGAACGUUACUGACGCUGAGACGCGAAAGUGUGGGGAGCGAACAGG
rnacentral:rRNA from 1 species